GACGAACGCUGGCGGCGUGCUUAACACAUGCAAGUCGAACGGAAAGGCCCUGCUCUUGUGGGGUGCUCGAGUGGCGAACGGGUGAGUAACACGUGUGUAACCUGCCCUUGACUUUGGGAUAACUUCAGGAAACUGGGGCUAAUACCCGAUAGGAUCUCCUGCUGCAUGGUGGGGGUUGGAAAGUGUCGGCGGUUGUGGAUGGACUCGCGGCUUAUCAGCUUGUUGGUGGGGUAGUGGCUUACCAAGGCUUUGACGGGUAGCCGGCCUGAGAGGGUGACCGGCCACAUUGGGACUGAGAUACGGACCAGACUCCUACGGGAGGCAGCAGUGGGGAAUAUGGCACAGCGGGCGGGAGCCUGAGACAGCAACGCCGCGUUCGGGAUGACGGCUUUCGGGUGGUAAACCGCUUUCGCCUUUGACGAAGCGGGAGUGACGGUAAUGGGUAAAGAAGCACCGGCUAACUACGUG
rnacentral:rRNA from 1 species